UUUUUACUCCUACGGGAGGCAGCAGUGGGGGAAUAUUCCACAAUGGGCGCAAGCCUGAUGCAGGGACGCCGCGUGAGGGAUGACGGCCUUUGGGUUGUAAACCUCUUUCAGUAGGGAAGAAGCGAAAGUGACGGUACCUGCAGAAGAAGCGCCGGCUAAUUACGUGCCAGCAGCCGCGGUAAUACGUAGGGCGCAAGCGUUAUCCGGAAUUAUUGGGCGUAAAGAGCUCGUAGGCGGUUUGUCGCGUCUGCCGUGAAAGUCCGGGGCUCAACUCCGGAUCUGCGGUGGGUACGGGCAGACUAGAGUGAUGUAGGGGAGACUGGAAUUCCUGGUGUAGCGGUGAAAUGCGCAGAUAUCAGGAGGAACACCGAUGGCGAAGGCAGGUCUCUGGGCAUUAACUGACGCUGAGGAGCGAAAGCAUGGGGAGCGAACAGGAUUAGAUACCCUGGUAGUCCAUGCCGUAAACGUUGGGCACUAGGUGUGGGGGACAUUCCACGUUUUCCGCGCCGUAGCUAACGCAUUAAGUGCCCCGCCUGGGGAGUACGGCCGCAAGGCUAAAACUCAAAGGAAUUGACGGGGGCCCGCACAAGCGGCGGAGCAUGCGGAUUAAUUCGAUGCAACGCGAAGAACCUUACCAAGGCUUGACAUGAACCGGAAAGACCCUGAAACCAUGUC
rnacentral:rRNA from 1 species